rnacentral:rRNA from 1 species
GUCGUAACAAGGUCUCCGUUGGUGAACCAGCGGAGGGAUCAUUACCGAGUCUUACAACUCCCAAACCCCUGUGAACAUACCUAUAUCUUGCUUCGGCGGACCACCCUCGCCCCCCGGCGAGGGCCCGCCAGAGGACCCAAAACCCAACUUUGUUUUUGCCUUACAGUGAACUUCUGAGUGGAUUUUAUAAAUCAAAUCAAAACUUUCAACAACGGAUCUCUUGGCUCUGGCAUCGAUGAAGAACGCAGCGAAAUGCGAUAAGUAAUGUGAAUUGCAGAAUUCAGUGAACCAUCGAAUCUUUGAACGCACAUUGCGCCCGCCAGUACUCUGGCGGGCAUGCCUGUUCGAGCGUCAUUACAACCCUCAAGCCCCCGGGCUUGGUGUUGGGGAUCGGGAAUCGCCACGGCGGCCGGGGAAACCCACCGCCCGACGCGCCCCGUCCCCCAAAUCUAUCGGCGGUCACGUCGCGGCCUCUUGUGCGUAGUAGCUAACACCUCGCACCGGAGCCCGACGUGGUCCACGCCGUAAAACCCCCGACUUUUUACCAAGUUGACCUCGAAUCAGGUAGGACUACCCGCUGAACUUAAGCAUAUCAAUA